CCUACGGGAGGCAGCAGUGGGGAAUAUUGCACAAUGGGGGAAACCCUGAUGCAGCAACGCCGCGUGAAGGAUGACGGUUUUCGGAUUGUAAACUUCUUUUCUUAGUGACGAAGACAGUGACGGUAGCUAAGGAAUAAGCAUCGGCUAACUACGUGCCAGCAGCCGCGGUAAUACGUAGGAUGCAAGCGUUAUCCGGAUUUACUGGGUGUAAAGGGAGCGCAGGCGGGACUGCAAGUUGGAUGUGAAAUACCGUGGCUUAACCACGGAACUGCAUCCAAAACUGUAGUUCUUGAGUGAAGUAGAGGCAAGCGGAAUUCCGAGUGUAGCGGUGAAAUGCGUAGAUAUUCGGAGGAACACCAGUGGCGAAGGCGGCUUGCUGGGCUUUAACUGACGCUGAGGCUCGAAAGUGUGGGGAGCAAACAGGAUUAGAUACCCUGGUAGUCCACACUGUAAACGAUGAUAGCUAGGUGUGGGGGGUCUGACCCCUUCCGUGCCGGAGUUAACGCAAUAAGCUAUCCACCUGGGGAGUACGACCGCAAGGUUGAAACUCAAAGGAAUUGACGGGGGCCCGCACAAGCAGUGGAGUAUGUGGUUUAAUUCGACGCAACGCGAAGAACCUUACCAAGUCUUGACAUCCUGCGACGCACAUAGAAAUAUGUGUUUCCUUCGGGACGCAGAGACAGGUGGUGCAUGGUUGUCGUCAGCUCGUGUCGUGAGAUGUUGGGUUAAGUCCCGCAACGAGCGCAACCCCUGUCGCCAGUUACCAUCAUUAAGUUGGGGACUCUGGCGAGACUGCCUCUGCAAGGAGGAGGAAGGCGGGGAUGACGUCAAAUCAUCAUGCCCCUUAUGACCUGGGCCACACACGUGCUACAAUGGACGGGACAGAGGGAAGCGAAGGCGCGAGCCGGAGCGGACCCCAGAAACCCGUUCCCAGUUCGGACUGCAGUCUGCAACUCGACUGCACGAAGCCGGAAUCGCUAGUAAUCGCGGAUCAGAAUGCCGCGGUGAAUACGUUCUCGGGCCUUGUACACACCGCCCGUCACACCAUGAGAGUUGGCAACACCCGAAGCCGGCGGCCCAACCCGCAAGGGAGGGAGCUGUCUAAGGUGGGGCUGAUGAUUGGGGUGAAGUCGUAACAAGGUAUCCCUACGGGAACGUGGGGAUG
rnacentral:rRNA from 1 species